AUUGAACGCUGGCGGCAUGCCUUACACAUGCAAGUCGAACGGCAGCACGGGAGCAAUCCUGGUGGCGAGUGGCGAACGGGUGAGUAAUACAUCGGAACGUGCCCAAUCGUGGGGGAUAACGUAGCGAAAGUUACGCUAAUACCGCAUACGAUCUACGGAUGAAAGCGGGGGAUCGCAAGACCUCGCGCGAGUGGAGCGGCCGAUGUCAGAUUAGGUAGUUGGUGGGGUAAAGGCUCACCAAGCCAACGAUCUGUAGCUGGUCUGAGAGGAUGAUCCGCCACACUGGAACUGAGACACGGUCCAGACUCCUACGGGAGGCAGCAGUGGGGAAUUUUGGACAAUGGGGGCAACCCUGAUCCAGCCAUGCCGCGUGAGUGAAGAAGGCCU
rnacentral:rRNA from 1 species